CUGCUCUGCCACACCCUCAGAUUCUAGACCAUGCUCCUACCUGCAGGAAGAACUUUCAAGGAAAUCUGCCAACUCCUGCUUUAAGGGAAUUGAAGCCAUAUCUCCUGUAAUAAUCAUCCAUGAACAUUCUUCCUCAUAACCAAGCUUUUAAAAAAUAACUAAAAAUCUUUAAUUGAACAAAUAUUUCUUAAAGACCUACUGUUUCUGGCACCGUGCUAGACUGCAGAAGUACAGUAGUGAACCAACACAGGGAUAGAUGUGAAUGCACUGAGGGGGAGACCAGGACAGCAGCUGCCAACAGAGGCCUCAUGUUAGGACUGAGGAGUCCACCAAGCGGGGGCAGCACUGGCCAGUUAAAAGCAUCAUCUAGAGGGCAGGACACCCCAGGCCUGGACUCCAUCUCCACAACAACUCCACAUCUCCAAUGGUAUUUUAUGAAAAACACCCUAAAUGAUGGGCAGGAGCUGGGAAGGAAGUGUCCAGGAGACCAGCUGGAGGUUGCUAUGGAGUCCAUGCAGUGACAGUGGAGGCGGCACAGAAGGACUGCCUGAGGAAGCAUCUUGAAGGCAGAACAGAUGUGAGCAAAUCGUUACACAUGACUACAGCUACAGCCCCCUCGCUGUGGGACCUGGGCAACUCUGUAAAACUCCUGGUUUGCCAUCUGAAACAGGACCUGCUUGUCAGGUUUAAGGAUUAAAUAUACAUAAAAGCACAAUACCUAGCAAACUGCAUGUGCUUAAAAAGAUGAAAAAUAAAAUGUAUAAUGUGGACUCUAUACUUUCUAUUUUGCCAAAUAAAAGCAUAUCCCCAUUUA